rnacentral:rRNA from 1 species
UACCACUGUGUACUAGCGUUAUUCAUCUUUAUUAGGUGUAAAGCGUAGUUAGGUUGGUUUAAUUAUUUUUUAUGAAAGGCUGAAAAACUCUUUUAGACGUGUAAUUUAUAUAAUUAAUUCCUUGAAUAUGGUAGAGGUUUGACAGAAUUGUAAGAGUAGUUGUGAAAAACUGAAAUACUUAUACGAAAGCCAAUGGUGCAGACUGAUUUCUAUGCCAUAUUGACACUGAUCUACGGAAUUUUGGGUAUCGAAGAGG